UUCCAUUACUUACACCGUUUCUUUUAUGAGAAACUAGACUCAAUAAGAUUUAAUUCCAUAUUUUAUUCAUACUCUAAUUCGAUUUUCAUAAUUUAUGGUGAUUUUUCAAAGUGAGCCCACUGUUACUGUCCAAAACCAUUUUAGUGCAAGAUGUUUAUUACCAUGUUUAUAACACCCUUAUUUUCUUUCUCUGCACUAUUUCUCAUCACUUUCUCUUAUUUUCUCUUCACUAACAUAUCAAGAACAUAGGACCAUAUAUACAAAAACUUUACAUUAACAUCAUUUCCAUGCUUUUUCAAUAAUAUCAAACUUAAAAAUAUAUUAAAAUCUUGAUGUACUUACCUUGUCAUAUUGAUUUCAAUCUUUAACUUGAUUUUCUCUCUCCUCCAGCUUCUAUUUCUUGAAUCUAACUUGAUAUUCUAGCUCCCCAUAGUCUCCUUGUUAUCUUUCUCUCUUGAUGGAUAUGAAAAUUCUUUUGAUUUCUA
rnacentral:lncRNA from 1 species